CGUUAAUUGAAGAUUUUACAGAAUAAGCGUUAUAUUUAAAGAUAAAGAACAUUUAGGUCCAUACUUCAUAUGGACCCUUAAAAAUCGUUGGAUUAUCUCGGUGUUGCUGGUCAGUAAUGAAUAAAAAAUCACUGGUCAAUUUAAAGGUUGUUGUAAGUGAUGCAAUAUAUUCUUAUUUUCCUGUUCCCCUUAUGUAACUUCCAGUUUUAUUGAAGUUUACAUCCAUCAAAGCCUUAGUUUAAUUUAGUUUCCUGUUAUUACUACCCCCCUUUUAUUUGUCGCAUGUUGUGUAUCAUGUACUGAUUCUAUAUAUACUUCGAGCAUACAUAUGUACACUUAUGGAACAAUAACCAUUUAGUAAACUUUUUAAAACGUUUUUGUAGACUUGUAUACAAUAAAUUUUAUACAGAACAAAAAAGAUAUUAACAAAGAUGUCAGUUUGUCUGCGUGUUUUACUUGUUAACUUGCAGAUGUAUAAAUAACCACACG
rnacentral:lncRNA from 1 species